AUUGAACGCUGGCGGCAUGCCUUACACAUGCAAGUCGAACGGCAGCACGGGAGCAAUCCUGGUGGCGAGUGGCGAACGGGUGAGUAAAGUAUCGGAACGUGCCCAGUCGUGGGGGAUAACGUAGCGAAAGUUACGCUAAUACCGCAUACGAUCUAUGGAUGAAAGCGGGGGAUCGCAAGACCUCGCGCGAUUGGAGCGGCCGAUAUCAGAUUAGGUAGUUAGUGGGGUAAAGGCUCACCAAGCCGACGAUCCGUAGCUGGUCUGAGAGGACGACCAGCCAAACUGGGACUGAGACACGGCCCAGACUCCUACGGGAGGCAGCAGUGGGGAAUUUUGGACAAUGGGCGAAAGCCUGAUCCAGCCAUGCCGCGUGCAGGAUGAAGGCCUUCGGGUUGUAAACUGCUUUUGUACGGAACGAAAAGGUUUGGCCUAAUAAGCUGAGCUCAUGACGGUACCGUAAGAAUAAGCACCGGCUAACUACGUGCCAGCCGCCGCCGUAA
rnacentral:rRNA from 1 species